GGAAUUUUGUCAGCACUAAGCUACGCGGUACAAGUAGCAGAUUACAAGGAAGCACCCCAAAACUAACAGUCAGCACUAAGCUACGCGGUAGUUCAAUGCCCUACAAUUUGUCCUCAUAUUUGUACAAGAGAUCUCCACACCAUCUGUCUAUACUCCUAGUUCUCGCUAUUGAUGAGUCUUGUCGUCUUGGUGCUUCGACAAGGAGCUUUGUCCAGGCUGCCACCAGCACCGAUGGUCGAAGCGGUCAAGCAAUGCUUCUUUCUAGGCUUGUAUUUGCUAGGGAGAUCUGCACAACAACAGGUUCUUUGAGCUACAUUCCUUGAG
rnacentral:misc_RNA from 1 species